CCAAUGCGCACGCGCUGGGUUAUUGCGUCCCACAAGCCUUCCAUCAACGGAGUCGCAACUGUAUAUACACGGAACCCGUACCAUGUAGUAAUGUGUGGAAGGCGAUAUAUUCCAGAAUCUUGCGAAAAGGGUGUCGGCACAUAAUGGUUUAGGGGCCGCCAGCACUCUCCCUCGUAGUUCGUUAAGAUACCGUAUGGUAUAUAUCACCAUGUCUCAAGCAGUGUGGAUUAUAACGGUCGGCAAUCGGCUAUUUGCCGAACAAAAACACCAAAUGGCUGAUCAAAUUCAUUCUGCACGGACAUUUUGUCCGAUCAAAUAAAAUACACCACGCUGUUCAUUUAAAUUGAAGGUAGUUUAUGUGAAAAGUACUGUUUGAAAAGCAUCUAGCUAUGCCUACUAUACCAUGCAAUCAAUAAAUAUUUAGAUGAAAAAAUCACUCCGAGGAAACAUUGUCAUUGAGCUUCUCUUUUAGCAAAUACUCUCUCAAGUGACCGCAUCUCGAUAGUUACAGUCCAUAGCCGGCGGCGUUUACAAUACUUACUACUUACAAAAAUAUGUUUAAUUUCUAUAUUAGUUUAUAUAUUAGUAAAUACCUUUAUUUCCUAAAGAAACUCAAACAAAGUGAAGGCGCGGAGGACGUUGCUAGUUGGAAACGUGCAAUCAAUAAUGGUACGUCGGAGGACGUUGCUAGCAUGCAAACGUGCAAUCAAUAAUGGUACGUCGAUCUGUAGCACUGUCACGUAAAAUGGUUUAAAUAGUUGGCUGACCAUUCUUGGCCAAUGUCCGAGCAACAGUCUCGUUCAUCGGACAUUUGUCAGACCUAAGCAAAAACGUGAUAAUCCACGCUGCAUGUCUGGCGGCUAACACGAGACAACUCCCGUUCUCGUCGUGUUAGCUGGAAAUUUUUAUUUAUUUCUAGUAAUUUUUAUUUGCACACAUAUAAGAUAUAUGUUUUCAACAGCAAAAAUUUUCCUUUCAAAAAUUGUCAACCUUUCACCAUGUAAAACAUGUCCAGCACGUUUUUUAUAUACAUAUAUUUCUGUAUAUUUAGAAAAUUUAGAUCAAACAGGGAAAAUUUUUCUCACAAACAGACGAAUAUACGAGCGUGCUCAUGGGCAUACUGGAUAAUAAGGAAGGUAGAUUUCGGCAUACCCUGCAGUAGCCUCGGCGAUUUGUCGCGAUGAAUUAAGGAUGUGGGAUAUCGGAAGACCUGGUAGGUAGCCACUGUUUGUGAUGGCUAUAUGAAAAAGCAGUAUGUGGCCCUUUAAUUAGCUGCAGUACUAGUAUAGUUGAGAAAUCCGGGUAAGGUGGAGCGAAGAACAAUCUAAAAGCCUACUGAUAAAGCCUCUAUAAGCCUACUGAUUAAGACGGAUCAACAAGUCUGCAAGUCAAAAUGUGCUUUAAAAUUCCCCUGAACCAAAAUUUUCUCCAUCAAUAUGCGUUUUGAAUCUUUUUAGGUUGAUCUAUGUCUAUGACGAAAAAACUCGGAUGUUCCAUCAGUCCGAAAUUUAGUUGACUCGAGAAUCCCGGAUAACGGAUAAGGUUAGUAUAACUUAUUAUGAAGGACGGAUAACGAACAUUUCCACUAGUCAUCUCAAAUUUGAAAAUGUGUUCUAAAAUUCUCCCGGGCCAUAACUAUCUUCAUCAAUAUGCGUUCUUAAUCUUUCUAGGUCGAUCUAUAUCCAGUAUAACAAAAAAUUUUUUUCCAUCAGUCCGAAAUUUAGUUGACUCGAGAAUCCCGGAUAACGGAUAAGGUUAGUAUAACUUAUUAUGAAGGACCGAUAACGAACAUUUGCAUAAGGGCCAGGUUGGAAAUAGCAAUAAAGCGAUUUCUCACAUAGAAGUAUAAAAAGAAAAAAAAAUAGCCUGAAUAAAUAAAGAAAAAAACAAUUGUGAGUCCGCUAUGAGUUCAACGGGAUUUGAACCCAAACGUUAAUAGUGAUAGGCCAAACGGCCUACCACUAAGCCACCAGGAACGAUCUGAAAUUCUUGUGAAAUUAAAGCCAGAAUAGUAGAUUGUUGUGACCUGCUUAUCUCAUGAGGUGAAGGAGACUAUUAUGCGGUGAAUGGCGGUGAACGCGGUGAAAGAAUUCAACAUGAAAUCAACACAGAAUGAUUAGCUGGAUCUCUUCGGGCCAGGUUCAACAUAGCAAUAUUUUAUACUACUUGCAAAGCGAUUUCUCACAUAGAACUAUAAAAAGAGUAAAAAAUAGCCAGAUUAUAUAAAGGGAAGAAAAAUAUUGAGAGUCCGCUACAAAAUAUGAGUUCAACGCGAUUUGAACCCAAAUGUUAAUAGAGACAGGCCAGACGAACUACCACUAAGCCACCAGGGACGAUCUGAAAUUUUUGUGAAAUUAAAGACAAUAGUAAAUUGUUGUGACCUGCUUAUCUCAUGCGGUGUAGGAGACUAUUAUGCGGUGAAUGGCGGUGAACGCGGUGAAAGAAUUCAAUAUGAAAUCAACACAGAAUGAUUAGCUGGAUCUCUUCGGGCCAGGUUCAACAUAGCAAUAUUUUAUACUGCUUGCAAAGCGAUUUCUCACAUAGAACUAUAAAGAGAGUAAAAAAUAGCCAGAUUAUAUAAAGGGAAGAAAAAUAUUGUGAGUCCGCUACAAAAUAUGAGUUCAACGUAAUUUGAACCCAAACGUUAAUAGAGACAGGCCAGACGAACUACCACUAAACCACCAGGGACGAUCUGAAAUUUUUGUGAAAUUAAAGACAAUAGUAGAUUGUUGUGACCUGCUUAUCUCAUGAGUGUAGGAGACUAUAAUGCGGUGAAUGGCGGUGAACGCGGUGAAAAAAUUCAAUAUGAAAUCAACACAGAAUGAUUAGCUGGAUCUCUUCGGCCCAAGUUCAAAAUAGCAAUAUUUUAUACUACUUGCAAAGCGAUUUCUCACAUAGAAGUAUAAAGAGUAUAAAAAAUAGCAAGAAUAAAUAAAGGAAAAAAAAUAUUGAGAGUCCGCUACAAAAUAUGAGUUCAACGGGAUUUGAACCCAAACGUUAAUAGAGACAGGCCAAACGACCUACCACUAAGCCACCAGGGACGAUCUGAAAUUUUUGUGAAAUUAAAGACAAUAGUAGAUUGUUCUGACCUGCUUAUCUCAUGCGGUGUAGGAGACUAUUAUGGGGUGAAUGGCGGUGAACGCGGUGAAAGAAUUCAAUAAGAAAUCAACACAGAAUGAUUAGCUGGAUCUCUUCGGGCCAGGUUCAACAUAGCAAUAUUUUAUACUACUUGCAAAGCGAUUUCUCACAUAGAAGUACAAAAAGUAUAAAAAAUAGCAAGAAUAAAUAAAGGGAAAAAAAUAUUGAGAGUCCGCUAAAAAAUAUGAGUUCAACGGGAUUUGAACCCAAACGUUAAUAGAGACAGGACAUACGAACUACCACUAAGCCACCAGGGACGAUCUGAAGUUCUUGCGAAAUUAAAGACAAUAGUAGAUUGUUGUGACCUGCUUAUCUCAUGCGGUGUAGGAGACUAUUAUGCGGUGAAUGGCGGUGAACGCGUUGAAGAAUUCAAUAUGAAAUCAACACAGAAUGAUUAGCUGGAUCUCUUCGGGCCAGCUUCAACAUAGCAAUAUUUUUUUCUGCUUGUAAAGCAAUUUCUCACAUAGAAAUAUAAAAAGAGUAAAAAAUAGCCAGAUUAUAUAAAGAUUAAAGGGAAAAAAAAUUGUGAGUCUGCUACAAAAUAUGAGUUCAGCGUGAUUUGAACUCAAACGUUUAUCGAGAUAGGCCAAACGAACUACCACUAAGCCACCAGGGACGAUCUGAAAUUUUUGUGAAAUUAAAGACAAUAGUAGAUUGUUGUGACCUGCUUAUCUCAUACGGUGUAGGAGACUAUUAUGCGGUGAAUGGCGGUGAACGCGGUGAAAAAAUUCAAUAUGAAAUCAACACAGAAUGAUUAGCUGGAUCUCUUCGGGCCAGGUUCAACAUAGCAAUAUUUUAUACUACUUGCAAAGCGAUUUCUCACAUAGAACUAUAAAAAGAGUAAAAAAUAGCCAGAUUAUAUAAAGGGAAAAUAAAUAUUGAGAGUCCGCUACAAAAUAUGA
rnacentral:lncRNA from 1 species